rnacentral:rRNA from 1 species
AGAGUUUGAUCAUGGCUCAGAACGAACGCUGGCGGCAUGCCUAACACAUGCAAGUCGAACGAGACCUUCGGGUCUAGUGGCGGACGGGUGAGUAACACGUGGGAACGUGCCCUUUGGUUCGGAACAACUCAGGGAAACUUGAGCUAAUACCGGAUGUGCCCUUCGGGGGAAAGAUUUAUCGCCAUUGGAGCGGCCCGCGUCUGAUUAGCUAGUUGGUGAGGUAAAGGCUCACCAAGGCGACGAUCAGUAGCUGGUCUGAGAGGAUGAUCAGCCACAUUGGGACUGAGACACGGCCCAAACUCCUACGGGAGGCAGCAGUGGGGAAUCUUGCGCAAUGGGCGAAAGCCUGACGCAGCCAUGCCGCGUGAAUGAUGAAGGUCUUAGGAUUGUAAAAUUCUUUCACCGGGGACGAUAAUGACGGUACCCGGAGAAGAAGCCCCGGCUAACUUCGUG